UUUUAAACCCGACAAAAGCGGCAGCCCCGAAUUCCGUUUUUCAUCGGAUGAGGGCUACAGCGUAUGGCGGGACUGCUU
rnacentral:sRNA from 1 species